CGCAAGCCUGACGGAGCAACGCCGCGUGAGGGAGGAAGGCCUGUGGGUUGUAAACCUCUUUUCUCAAGGAAGAAGUUCUGACGGUACUUGAGGAAUCAGCAUCGGCUAACUCCGUGCCAGCAGCCGCGGUAAGACGGAGGAUGCAAGCGUUAUCCGGAAUUAUUGGGCGUAAAGCGUCCGUAGGUGGUUACAAAAGUCUGUUGUUAAAGCUCACAGCUCAACUGUGAAUCGGCAAUGGAAACUAUGUGACUUGAGUGUGGUAGGGGUAGAGGGAAUUCCUAGUGUAGCGGUGAAAUGCGUAGAUAUUAGGAAGAACACCAGUGGCGAAGGCGCUCUACUGGGCCAUAACUGACACUGAUGGACGAAAGCUAGGGGAGCG
rnacentral:rRNA from 1 species